rnacentral:lncRNA from 1 species
CAAAAUGUAGUUGGCCUAAACAUAUUACUAGCAGGUAAACAGAAAUAAGAAGGUAAAAAAUGUGACAAAGAGUACAGAACAUACAAAUUGCAUUUUUCAAUCUCAAGUUCCCAACCCCACUACUAGAUGUAGUACUUCUAAUUCAUGCCACUAAUGUCCUUUAACUUAAUUAUUUUAACUAACCUAGCAGCCAAUCAUUCAAACUCCAAACAAAGCUCAAUUCUAUGUAUUAAGAGGAUAAUUUCAUACUCGACAGAAAUUUCAUCAUCACAAACAAAUUGAACAAACUUCCAAAUAUAUUGAACAAACUAAUGAGAUGGAGGAAAAGAAUAGACCUUCGGGCGAGUAAAACUUUUCUUAGUAACAGAUUGAUGAACCGGAAUUCAACACGACGACCAAACUACGAACAAAAUAAGCAAACAGGACACGAACAGACCUCAAUGGCGGCCGAAAUUGCGAAUUAACUUCAAGCAACCUCUUCACUUUAAUCGAACUUCCUGGUUUUAAAAUAAGAAAUAAGAAGAAGAAGAUAGAAUUUGAAAUGAAAAUCAAAAAGAUUUAAAUCGGAAAUCAUAAUAGGAAAAUCCCGUUUGUUCCCUUCCUCUAUUUUCGACCCUCUAUCUCUGUACUUUUCUAUCUUCAAUGUUUGUUGCUGCUAGCUGGAUGGUGGUCGCUAGGCUUUUGGUGGUGAAGAUGGUCGUUGGGGUGGUGUCGCGGAUGCUGGCUAGUCGGAUGGGGUGAAGGGGUGUUAGUUGCGAGGGUUUCGUGAAGGUGUAGGAGAUAGAGAUCAGGGAUCGUUGGUUGAAGAGUGACCGGCGGCGAAUGGGAGGUGGGCUAGCGGCGCUUGGUUUAUUAUUUUGUGGUCUUAGGAUAGGGGUGCUGCUAGUCUUCC